GAAACUCAGGCUAAUACCGCAUACGCCCUACGGGGGAAAGGCUUCGGCCGCUAUUGGAUGAGCCUAUGUCUGAUUAGCUUGUUGGUAGGGUAACGGCCUACCAAGGCAACGAUCAGUAGCUGGUCUGAGAGGACGAUCAGCCACACUGGGACUGAGACACGGCCCAGACUCCUACGGGAGGCAGCAGUGGGGAAUAUUGCACAAUGGGCGAAAGCCUGAUGCAGCAAUGCCGCGUGUGUGAAGAAGGCCUGCGGGUUGUAAAGCACUUUCAGUAGGGAGGAUUAUGACGUUACCUACAGAAGAAGCACCGGCUAACUCUGUGCCAGCAGCCGCGGUAAUACAGAGGGUGCGAGCGUUAAUCGGAAUUACUGGGCGUAAAGCGCGCGUAGGCGGCUUGGUCAGUCGGAUGUGAAAAGCCCCGGGCUUAACCUGGGAAUUGCAUUCGAUACUGCCAGGCUUGGAGUGUAGUAAAGGGAAGCGGAAUUCCGGGUGUACCGGUGAAAUGCU
rnacentral:rRNA from 1 species